rnacentral:tRNA from 1 species
GGCGGGGCGCCGCCCCGUGUCCAGGGCGUGUGCCCGUGGAUAUCCGGCAGCCGUGCCGUCCGCGGCCAUGUACCCUA